GUAAUUAAUGGAACAAAAUCAUUUGUACUUAGUAAUAAAACAUCCAUUCCUUCACCCAAUUACAUAUUGACGUCUUCUAAAUCACAAUUAGAGUAAUCAAAAAAUUGAGCCUAUAUUCCUAUCUUUUUAAUAACAUUUUUUAAAAUUUUUUGAAAUUUCCCUAUGCUUAUGCAGUGCAUAAUUGACCCAUGUGUGCACAGCCCACCCCUGUCUUCCCUGGUUCCCUCCCUGAUCCAUGCUUUUUAUUUGUUAACUGUUAUGAAUAAUUCCCUGAGUCCAUUUACUUGUGUCCAUGAACACAUGAGUUUGUGGUCAUCUACUGGGGCAGGAGCAAUCUACACAGGCUAUUUCCCCCCAAGGAGAAUGGAUGACUGUUCCUUCCUCAGUUGAUACCAACAUUCAGUAAUCCCUCCAAUAGGACUAAGGCCUGGGGCCUCUCCCCACUGGUGCUGGAAUUUUGGCUGGCUUGAUCUUGUACGGUCUUGUUCAGAUAAGCAGAGCCACUGUGAGUUCAUGGGGACAAUACCCUGAAAGGUCCAGAGGCAGGAUUUCACAGCACUCUUACCCAUCUUCUGGUUCUUGUACUCUUCCUAUGCCUUGUAUUCUUUCUGUGAUGUUCCCUGAACCUGGUAUGAGGAGCGAUCAGAAGAGAGUUGAGCAUUCAAUAGUCACUUCCUCUCAGCACUACUCAUAAAGCAGCUUCUCUGGCCCAGGUUGAGAGCAGCACCAUUUUUUUUCCUAGACAAGGUUUCUCUGUGUAGCCUGGCUGUCCUGGAACUCACUUUGUAGACCAGGCUGGCCUCGAACCCAGAAAUCCACCUGCCUCUGUCUCCCAAGUGCUGGGAUUAAAGGUGUGCGCCACCACCCGCCCAGCCAAGCACCACCAAUUUAUAGAUAGAAAUAAAAUAUUAGAAGGCAGUUUGAUAAUGUGGCCAUUUAGCAAAAUGGCAAUAGUAGUUUGCCACUCUAGGGCUUAUAAUAUCCCAAAUUAUGGGCCUUUUGCUAGGUUGACAGUAUCUGACUCGAAAUCUGUCCUGUGAGUCAGCUCACAUAUCUAAUGAAAAAGUAAUUGGUUACCCCCAUAACCUCCAUGCCACUAUUAUUCUAGUGGAUAUUUUUUGGCUAGCGGACAUAUCAACUUCUAGCAGUAUAUAAGCUAGCCAGCAGGGAGAAAGUUUCCUGGUCAAUUCCAGCUUGUUUUCUCUAUGUCUUUGAAAGUAUGUGGUGUCGUCAGCAAGAGUCGUACUGUCUAGUUGCAGUGGAUAAUCAAGAUUAAUGACAAUGCCCUUUGUCGUUUGGAUACCUCCCUGACUAAUAACUCUCUUGUCCAUAAGUAGUGAUGUGUAGCUUUGUGGGAAAUGUUUUAAUACACACUGGUAAGCUUGAUUACAAUGCGCUCAGAUACUUUAAUGAUUGCCAGCUGAUCUUCAAAACACAUCAAAGAAUAUUAGGAACUAGGUUUCACUUUUCAUUUGCUGGAACUUAAGAACAGAUUAACCCUUUUCCGUCUCUGAAUCAGCUAUGCAUUCUUUGAAGACUGGGUUUCUCUUGAAGGAGAGCUGGAAGCUUUAGGCAAAUGGGGAUUUAACACCCCAAAGUCCUUCAUAGAGUGUCACCUGUAUCUCUGAGAACCGUGGACAUUUUGAGCCCAUCACAGUGAUCUGGCAGUCUCUGUCACCUUCAGCCAUCUGUCAGGAAAGUGGAAUUCUGUCUUCCCAUCCACAGACAUUGACCUCACCCAGAAUCACAUCAGUAUCCAUCUCAAGGAAUUUCCAUCGACAACCGGUGUUCUGAUUUUUAAUUAGCAUUCUCCCUUCUCUACUGCCCCAGCCGUAAUGACUCUCAACAGAGGUGAGAGUCUGACAAAUGGAUGUGCUCCCAUCCAGAGCUACAUCGGCUGUGUGAGGCAGCAGCAGCAAUGUCACAAGCUGCUUACUAAAAGCAAGUGUUAAGUGGCAAUGCUGACUAUGAGAGCACAUGCUUGAAACAAGCACUCAGCUCACCAGUGGGGACCCUGAAAACACUCUCCCUGAGAAAGGACAGUCACGACAAGGGCUUAGCCUUGACUGGGCGUGGCACACAGGCUCAAUGAUUCUUCCUCCUCUGCCUUCUUCACCAUAAGCAGUGGCUAUGUGACCCUGUGACUUCUCUAAGGUCUUCUGUAUUGACUUAUCAAACUCUUUCUGCUGCCCAUCAGGUUGGAAUCACUCUAUUCUGUCCAUAGACACAGAGUUACAUGGAAAAGUGAAGCUACCUGGUGGUGGUGGCACAUGUCUUUAAUCCCAGCAGUACAAAGGCACAGACAGGCAGAUCUCUGAGUUCGAGGCCAGCCUGGUCUAUAGAGUGAGUUUCAGGACAUCCAGGGCUACACAGAGAAACCCUGUAUCUUGGAAAAGGGAGGAGGAGGAAGAGGAGGAGGAGGAGGAAGAGAGAAGCAACUGCGGCUAGAUUUAUCUACCCGAGUGGAUUCCGAGGCUCUAAGAACUGCAUACACUGAUUAUGUAAACUAGAUCAGUAUUUAUAUGUAUAUAUUAUUUUCUUCUUAAAUUAUAUAUUUAUUGGUACAUACUUAUUAUAUAAAAUGAUGGGUUUCAUUACGUCGUUUUCACUCACGUGUGUCACAGACACUUUUAUUUACUGCCUUACCUUCUCUUGUUCCUUCUUCUUCCCUUCUCCGAUUGGUUUUCUUCCUCUUCCCAAAUCUGUAUGUGUAUGUUCAUGUGUAUGUGUAUGUAAACAUGUAUGUAUAUAUAUAAAUGUGUAUGUGAGUAUGCAUGGACACGUGCAUGUGUGUGUGCAUGUGUA
rnacentral:lncRNA from 1 species